GCUGCACGCGCCCCUGCAGCCACCGGGCGUCCCGCAGAGGCUCCCGCGCCCUGCGGCGACUUCCGCCCCCGCGCUCCCCUUUGUCCGAGUCCCCAAGCGGCGGCGGCGGGGUAGGAGCCCACGCCGUGGGCGACUGAGGCGGCGGCAGUCCGCGUCCCGGCGCCCUGGAGAUGCCGGACCAGAUCUCCGUGUCGGAAUUCGUGGCCGAGACCCUUGAGGACUACAAGGCGCCCACGGCCUCUAGCUUCACCACGGGCACGGCCCAGUGCCGGAACACCAUGGCGGCCAUCGAGGAGGUUAAGCUGUUCCCCGGAAUGUUUUAACAACAGGGCAUACCCAGGUGAAUUAUACCCUUUUGGGGUUCAGACCUCGCUCAACUGGAGACCUGCCUGUCUGUGCAAAGCCCAGUGCCCCACAU
rnacentral:lncRNA from 1 species